rnacentral:rRNA from 1 species
AUUGAACGCUGGCGGCAGGCCUAACACAUGCAAGUCGAACGAGUAGCGGACGGGUGAGUAAUGUCUGGGAAACUGCCUGAUGGAGGGGGCUAACUACUGGACACGUUGGCUAAUACCGAAUACCAUCCGCGUUGCCCAGAUGGGAUUAGCUAGUAGGUGGGGUAAAGGCUCACCUAGGCGACGAUCCCUAGCUGGUCUGAGACGUGUACCAGUCACACUGGAACUGAGACAUGGUACAGAAUCUCACUGGAGGCAGCAGGGGGGAAUAUUGAACAAGGGGCGCAAUCCUGAUGCAGCCAUGCCGCGUGUAUGAAGAAGGCCUUCGGGUUUUAAAGUACUUUCAGCGGGGAGGCGUUACCCGCAGAAUAAGCACCGGCUAACUCCGUGCCAGCAGCCGCGGUAAUAC